rnacentral:misc_RNA from 1 species
GGAAGUAAAAGUCGUGACAAGGUUUCCGUAGGUGAACCUGCGGAAGGAUCAUUAUUGUGUAACCGAGGUGCGAGGGCUGUCGCUGACCCGAAAGGUCGUGCACGCCCGAGUGCCCUCACACACAUCCAUCUCACCCCUAUGUGCACCACCGCGUGGGUCCCCCUUUGGCUUGUUCGGAGGGGGGCUUACGUUUUCACACAAACUUUGUAUGCAGUGUAGAAUGUAUUUUUUGUUUUUGCGAUCACGCAAUCAAUACAACUUUCAACAACGGAUCUCUUGGCUCUC